UUUUUUGAGAGUUUGAUCCUGGCAAAGGAUAAACGCUGGCGGCAUGCCUAAUACAUGCAAGUCGAACGGACUAAUUUAUUAGUCAGUGGCGAACGGGUGAGUAACACGUAGGUAACCUGUCUUUAAGACGAGGAUAACGGUUGGAAACGACUGCUAAUACUGGAUAGUAUAUUUGUUUGCAUGGACGAAUAUUUAAAGGUGCGAAUGCACCACUUAAAGAGGGGCCUGCGGUGCAGUAGCUAGUUGCUGAGGUAACGGCUCACCAAGGCGAUGAUGAAUAUCUGUGCUGAGAGGCACAACAGACACAUUGGGACU
rnacentral:rRNA from 1 species